ACGAACAUUAAUGCCUUUUGACCGUCCUUCGCGGCGCCCUCCUAUUUAUUACCCUUUUUACUCUGACGGGACGCGUCUUACCAAACCUCCGUGCUUUCUCUUAUUAUAAAUACCGGCCCUGGUUUCGCUCUUGAGAAUACCUGCUCCACUCGAUUCCUUUUUCCCCAAUUACGUUUCCAUCGGAACGUUCGUAGUCAUGUCUUUGUCGUCUUCUUCUUUCUCCUCUUCUUCUGUC
rnacentral:lncRNA from 1 species